AACGAACGCUGGCGGCGUGCCUAACACAUGCAAGUCGAACGGGAUUCGGAGCUUGCUCCGAUGAGAGUGGCGCACGGGUGAGUAACGCGUAGAUAAUCUGCCUGAUGAUCUGGGAUAACAGUUCGAAAGGACUGCUAAUACCGGAUAAGCCCACGGAGACCUUGGUCUUUGCGGGAAAAGGGGGGGAGCUUCGGGCCUUCCGUCCUCCGCUGAGGCUGCGUACCAUUAGCUAGUUGGUAGGGUAAAGGCCUACCAAGGCGACGAUGGUUAGCUGGUCUGAGAGGAUGAUCAGCCACACUGGAACUGAGACACGGUCCAGACUCCUACGGGAGGCAGCAGUGGGGAAUUUUGCGCAAUGGGGGAAACCCUGACGCAGCAACGCCGCGUGAGUGAUGAAGGCUCUUGGGUCGUAAAGCUCUGACAGAGGGAAAGAAGUGUAUGGUGGUUAAUACCCAUUGUACUUGACGGUACCCUCAAAGGAAGCACCGGCUAACUCCGUGCCAGCCGCCGCCGUAAAAC
rnacentral:rRNA from 1 species